GAUGAACGCUGGCGGCGUGCCUAAUACAUGCAAGUCGAGCGAACGGACGAGAAGCUUGCUGCUCUGACGUUAGCGGCGGAGGGGUGAGUAACGCGUGGAUAACCUACCUAUAAGACUGGGAUAAUUUCGGGACACCGGCGCUAAUACCGUAUAAUCUUCUGAACCGCAUGGUUCAAAAGUGAAAGACGGCCUUGCUGGCACUUAUAGAUGGAUCCCGGCUGCAUUAGCUAGUUGGUCAGGUUACGGCCUUCCAAGGCGACGAUGCGUAGCCGACCUGAGUGGGGGGUAGGCCGCCCUGGAACGGGGCCGGGGUCAAGGGUCCUACGGGAGGCAGCAGAAGGGAAUCUUCCGCAGUGGGCGAAAGCCUGACGGAGCGAGGCGGCGUGAGUGAUGAAGGUCUUCGGAUCGUAAAGCUCUGUUUUGGGGGAAAAACAGAUGUGGAAGUUGCUGUACACUUAUUGACGGUACCUAAUAAGAAAGCCACGGCUAACUACGUG
rnacentral:rRNA from 1 species